rnacentral:tRNA from 1 species
GAAUCCGUAGCUCAGCAGGAAGAGCAUCCCGAUUUUUAAUCGGGAGGGUCCUGGGUUCGAAUCCCAGCGGGAUCA